rnacentral:rRNA from 1 species
UACGUAGGUGGCGAGCGUUGUCCGGAAUCACUGGGCGUAAAGGGCGCGUAGGCGGUUUGACAAGUCACAUGUGAAAUACCAGGGCUCAACUCUGGGGGGUCAUGUGAAACUGUCUGACUUGAGUGCAGUAGAGGAAAGCGGAAUUCCUGGUGUAGCGGUAAAAUGCGUAGAGAUCAGGAGGAACACCGGUGGCGAAGGCGGCUUUCUGGGCUGUAACUGACGCUGAGGCGCGAAAGCGUGGGGAGCAAAC